UAAAAAAAUAUAAAGUGUAUGAAUGAUAAUUUUUCCAAAAAUAAUAAUAAAUCUCAUACACGCUUGAAUGAAUUAUUAAGAGGUAAAUUGGUGAAAAAGGGGAAAAAGAAGAAGGACAAUGACACGUGGCGUGGUCAUCGAGAAGUCAGCCGGGCCGGCUGAGGGGCAAAGGGCAACGCAUUGAUUAAUUACAACAUUACAAUAUUAUUACAUUAUACAAAUCACACGCCCGCUCUCAGACCACGACACGUGACCCUGCCUGCUCUCUCUCUCUCUCUCUCUCGAGCGGGUCACUCAACUCGCAAUUCCCCAACUUAAAAAUACGAAGUGCUUUUCCCCAUCUCCCCCCACUUUGCUUCUUUCAGCUUUUAGCUUUUAGCUUUUCUGACAGCAAACAAACCGCACACUCCCUGGACUACUAUUUCUUUCUUUCCUUGGCGAUGAUAUUAUUCACCAUAAAAUUUUUAGGCGGGCUUUGCUUUUCAAUUGUUAAUUAUUUUUUAAUCUAAUGGCUUAUGAGAAAGAUUGGUGUGUUUGUUUGGGUGGGUCAUUAGUUUAAGAUUGGCUUCUUUUUAACCGGCAAGUGAUUGAGCAUGGAAUUGCGAGCAGCUGACAAGACUUUGCUCUGAAUUUGUCAUGCCAUUUAACAAUUAAUAUCAGUUUUAUUUCUCUAAAUUUCUUAGGGCUUAUUGGGGUCAUGGGAGACAUUAACAUGAUUUGGAGAAGAAGAAUCAUGGUACAACAACCACAACCACCAUUUUCCUUAAACUCCCUCAAUUAUUUGUAUUAUUUUCACUUUAAAUAAUCAAAAACAAAGCCAAGGCAUGAGCAUGAUCUGCUUCUUCUUUUUUUUUUUUUUUCUUGUGUCCUAUAAUUCUUUUGCUUUUUUGCCAACUUGUAAAGCAUUAGGUGUCAUAAAAAGCAGUGGACGCAUCAUCUUAAGCCUUAAGUUUUGCCUUUCGAGUUCUGUUCUUGCGGGUGUAAUAAUCUUUUUACUUGUCCUUUCAAGUCAAAUCCUUUUUUUUUCCCCCUUCUCUCUUCAAAGCGUGCUCACUUUUUUUUCUUUUUUUUUUGUUGGGAUUCAAUUGAAUUAUGUUCGAAUUUUUUUACCUUUUAUAAAAAAAAAAAAAUUGUAAUUCCAAGAUUUAAAUUAUCCUUUCAAAUGAGCAUAUUAAUGUAGAGAUCUCAAUUAGUUGAGAAACUCGAUAUGUGCAAAAAAUGUGAAGGAUCAUUUUGAUAUUCACAUGAAUUCCUCGACAAUAACAUAUUGCUCAAUAUCUCUUAUCAUUUGUGUCAGUUAAUUUACCAACAAAGUCUAAAGAUGCUAUACAUAUAAAAGUUUUCAGUAACUUUUGAUAGACACCGUAUGAGAUAUCAGAGAUAAACGAAAUUAUUUUCUCUUAUUUUAAGGUGAAUGCAUAUGCUAUUAACAUACGGAGGGGAUUUGUUUUUUUCGCUUCCAAGGGUAGAUGAUAAUAAUAAGGGAAAAUGACA
rnacentral:lncRNA from 1 species